UGCAAUGAGAGUUGUACUAAGGUAGCGCAAUAAGUAGCCCCUUAAUUGGGGGAUGGUAUGAAUGGUUUGACGUGGAGAUGCUGUUUCUAGUGUAGUUUAAAUGAAAUUUCUUUCUAGGUGAAAAAGCCUAGGUUUUUGUAAGAGAUGAGAAGACCCUAUCGAACUUGAUUAUAUAGAAGCAAUUAAAAUAAGUUUUUGACUUAUUAAAUUUUCUUAGUUUGAAGUUUUACUGGGGCAGUAAAGGGUUAUGCAAUACCUUUUUUAAUAAAAUAAAGAGCCUUUUAGAUGGAAAAAAGCAAAAGUUACCGUAGGGAUAACAGCGUAAUUUUAUCCCCUAAAGAUCUUAUUAAGGGGAGAGUUUGCGACCUCGAUGUUGGAUUAUA
rnacentral:rRNA from 1 species